rnacentral:lncRNA from 1 species
GUCAUCAGCUUAACAACUGCCUAAGUGCCCAGCUGUGGGUUUGAGAAUUUCGGAAAUUGUUAAGUUACAUGUAAAAAUCACCUAGGUCGCCAAUGUGUUGCCCAGCGGGGCACCCUCCACCCCCACCCGAAGGAAGAGCCCCGGGAACCCGAGAACCGCGGGUCAAAUCCGCAGGGAACCUACUUGGGCGGACCCGGGCCACCUGAGCGCCCGAGCCAGGCUGAGGCUCCUCCCGACGCAGCUACGCCCUUCGGAGCCGGGGGCGGGGCGAGGCGGCCUGGAGCUCCGGGGGUGCGGCCGGGGUCCCGCGGGGUGCGGUUCCUGUGCUCGCGCCGCGUCCUGAGGCCGCCACACCUGGGUUGCCGCCGGACCGCAGCCGAGCUCAGAGCUCCGCGCUGGGUCCGCCGGAAGGUGCUCCGCCAGGGAGGUCCGGGCAACCCGCGGUGCGGCGAGAAAUGCGUCCCCGGGAAACCGCGCCCGGCGGCGGAGGGGCGAGGAGCUCGGAGCUAAAGUCCUAGUCUCGGCCCUAAAGUCCUCGCCUCGGCCCCGCGCGCGGAACCUCGUAAAAACCUUCGAAGGACCGAAAUCGCCGUUUUAUCGCGGAAGGCAAACACUGCGCGAACUUCCUGGUUCCCAUAGUGCGACGCUCGGCUGCCCAGACCCACAGAAUUCUUCGUUUUAAACCCAAGACGUGCGAGUCACCUGCUUAGCAAAUAUGAUCACAAACUUACCUCCUGCUUGUUCCCCUAAACACCCUCUUCUCUUUCCUAAAGAAACCGAUUGGUCUUCUCUUUCCCCUCCCUCCCUUUCUCCUAUUACCCCUACCUCUGAUUACUGCGUGCACGUCUUCUGUACCCGCCAGAGGGUGUGAAUACACUUUGCUUUCUUCCUGUUCACCUGUGUUUUGUCAAUUUAAUUUUCAGGACCUCCAAGCACAGUCCCAAAAGGGAAGAGGGAAAAUUUUUCCUCUGGCAGAACCAAGUUUCAUUGUAUCAUUUCAUCCUUAAGUAUUUCAACAUACCCAAAGGACAGGAGUUUUUAGAGAAACAACCACAAUAUCAUUAACACACCUGAAAAAUAACAAUUUCCUAAUAUCAAAUAUCCAUCCUUGUGUGUCCAAUAUGGCAGCCAGCUGUCAUAUCUUGAGUGCUCGAAUGUGACUGGUCUGAAUUAAGACGUGCUGUAACAGUAAAAAGACACACCAGAUUUCAAAGAUUUAGUGGGAAACAAAAAAAGUAAAAG